rnacentral:rRNA from 1 species
GAUGAACGCUGGCGGCGUGCCUAAUACAUGCAAGUCGAGCGAACGGACGAGGAGCUUGCUUCUCUGAUGUUAGCGGCGGACGGGUGAGUAACACGUGGAUAACCUACCUAUAAGACUGGGAUAACUUCGGGAAACCGGAGCUAAUACCGGAUAAUAUUUUGAACCGCAUGGUUCAAAAGUGAAAGACGGUCUUGCUGUCACUUAUAGAUGGAUCCGCGCUGCAUUAGCUAGUUGGUAAGGUAACGGCUUACCAAGGCAACGAUGCAUAGCCGACCUGAGAGGGUGAUCGGCCACACUGGAACUGAGACACGGUCCAGACUCCUACGGGAGGCAGCAGUAGGGAAUCUUCCGCAAUGGGCGAAAGCCUGACGGAGCAACGCCGCGUGAGUGAGGAAGGUCUUCGGAUCGUAAAACUCUGUUAUUAGGGAAGAACAUAUGUGUAAGUAACUGUGCACAUCGUGACGGUACCUAAUCAGAAAGCCACGGCUAACUACGUG